rnacentral:rRNA from 1 species
AAGUAACACGUGGGUAAUCUACCUCGAAGUGGGGGAUAACCCGCCUAACGGCGGACUAAUACCGCAUGAUAUGGCGAUUUCACAAGGGAUUGCUAUUAAAGGUUUUAAUCGCUUCGAGAUGAGCCCGCGCCCCAUUAGCUUGUUGGUGAGGUAACGGCUCACCAAGGCUACGAUGGGUAGCUGAUCUGAGAGGAUGAUCAGCCACACUGGAACUGAGAUACGGUCCAGACUCCUACGGGAGGCAGCAGUGAGGAAUAUUGCGCAAUGAGCGAAAGCUUGACGCAGCAACGCCGCGUGAGGGAUGAAGGUUUUCGGAUCGUAAACCUCUUUCGAUGGGAAAGAACAUCCAUUCCGCUAAUACCGGAGUGGACUGACGGUACCCAGAGAAGAAGCCACGGCCAACUCCGUGCCAGCAGCCGCGGUAAUACGGGGGUGGCGAGCGUUACUCGGAUUCAUUGGGUGUAAAGGGCAGGUAGGCGGUUAUGUAAGUUGGGGGUGAAAUCCUUUGGCUUAACCAAAGAACUGCCCCCAAUACUGCAUAGCUUGAGACUGGAAGAGGAAAGCGGAAUUCCCGGUGUAAGGGUGAAAUCUGUAGAUAUCGGGAGGAACACCAGUGGCGAAAGCGGCUUUCUGGUCCAGUUCUGACGCUAAUCUGCGAAAGCUAGGGGAGCAAACAGGAUUAGAUACCCUGGUAGUCCUAGCCGUAAACGAUGAGCACUAGGUGUUGGGGGGUUACCUUUAGCGCCGUAAGAUAACUCGUUAAGUGCUCCACCUGGGGACUACGGCCGCAAGGCUAAAACUCAAAGGAAUUGACGGGGGCCCGCACAAGCGGUGGAACAUGUGGUUCAAUUCGACGCUACGCGAAGAACCCCACCAGGGCUUGACAUGCAGGAAGUAGUGAACUGAAAAGGGAUCGACCUGUCAAAUCAGGAGCCUGCACAGGUGCUGCAUGGCUGUCGUCAGCUCGUGUCGUGAGAUGUUGGGUUAAGUCCCGCAACGAGCGCAACCAUCAUCCUUAGUUGCUACUCUUGAAGCCGCAAGGUGGAGAAAGGCACUCUAAGGAGACUGCUCGCGAUAAGCGAGAGGAAGGUGGAGAUGACGUCAAGUCAGUACGGCUUUAUGCCCUGGGCUACACACGUGUUACAAUUGCCUACUACAAAGCGUUGGCCAAACCGCGAGGUGGAGCUCAUCGCAAAAAGGUAGGCUCAGGUUCAGAUUGGAGUCU